UCUUGUGACUACACGUGAACAUAAUAUAAGCAGGCGUCAUAUGUGACAAGUCUUUGCUAUAUAACCACACAUAGUUGUUAUUGUGAGUGGCAUAGGGUCGUAGUAACAAAAGUAUUGCUGAACAAUGGGUCCGACGUGAUUUUGUUAUAGCUGACAAGUUUAAACACAGGUAUUUUCAUCUGUGACGACAACUGCAAACAAUUUGUGUCAGUGUAAAAGGCCAAUCAAAUAAGUUUAACUUGUGCUGACAUGGGGUCGAAAAUAG